UACGUAGGGACCGAGCGUUGUCCCGGAUUUAUUGGGCGUAAAGAGCGUGUAGGCGGCCUGACAGGUCUGCUGUGAAAACUCGAGGCUCAACCUCGAGAUGUCGGCGGAAACCGUCUGGCUAGAGUCCGGAAGAGGAGAGUGGAAUUCCUGGUGUAGCGGUGAAAUGCGCAGAUAUCAGGAAGAACACCUAUGGCGAAGGCAGCUCUCUGGGACGGUACUGACGCUGAGACGCGAAAGCGUGGGGAGCGAACAGG
rnacentral:rRNA from 1 species